UCUCUCUGCAGGUUACACCACCCCCAACCUGGACCCCAUCCAAUAGGCUCGUGGUCCCUGAUGGUCCUGGACCACUGAUUUGAGGCCUUUCUGCUUCCUUUGAUUCAGUCUUUGGCAGAGACCCAGGAGCAGGAGUCCUUGAUGGCACCUGGCCCUUUCUAGUCACCGACAAGGGAAACCUGAGAAACCAUUCUCAGAAAUGGAACUAAAUUGACACAGCAUUUGUCUCCUCCAGAGGAUACAGCACCAAGGCGCCAUCUUGGAAGUAGACUGGAGCUCUUAGCAGACCAGAACCUGUGGGUGUGUUGAUCUUGUACUUCCUGACCUCCAGAACUAUGCCAGACUCAUCAACAAAGGCCCACUUGUUCCUUGGGAUUUGUGUCUUGAUGCAUUCUCAAAGAGAGGUUUCCAGGGCACCAGUCACCUGCAGCUCACCUGAAGAUGGCACAUGGCAUGUCGCUGUGCCCCCCUCCCCAUCCAUGUGCUCUACCUGGCAACUUGUUUCUCCCCACCUGAAAGUUGACCUGAGAUGAAACUUGCUAAGGCCUCCUAAGACGAUGUUGCUGGAUGUCCCCUGCUGACCCCACAGACUGGCUCCUCUGGUGUCCGCUGACUUGGCCUGGUGAGAAGGGCAGGGCCAGGCCCUUCCCUGUCUCGACCUGCAUUCCCACCCAACACAGCAAGCUAUUUUGAAAAAACUUCUCUAUCAGUUCUUGUGAGUUAUUUGUCUAAUAAACAA
rnacentral:lncRNA from 1 species